rnacentral:tRNA from 3 species
GCCUCCUUGGCGGAAUUGGCAGACGCAUCAGACUCAAAAUCUGACGAGGAAACUCGUAUCGGUUCGACCCCGAUAGGAGGCA